UUCACCAUGUUGGCCAGGCUGGUCAUGAACUCCUGACCUCAAAUGAUCCACCCACCUUGGCCUCAGAAAUUGCUGGGAUUACAGACUGGAGUUAUUGUGCCUGGCCUCUCUUAGCCUAUUUGGACUCCAGUGAGAUGUAGAAAUCCCCUUAGAUAUUUGCAUUUUAUUUUAUAGGUAAUUUGUAACAUAGCUAUACACACACAAGUAACUGAGAUUUCACAUUAAGUGUUUGCAUCUUUUUUUCCUUCAGCUUUUAAAGUGUAAGUUCCGGGGCACAUGUGCGAGUUUGUUGCAUAGGUAAACAUGUACCGUGGUGGUUUGUGGCACAGAUCAUCCUAUCACCUAGGUAUUAAGCCCAGCAUCCAUUAGUUAUUCUUCCUGAGGUGUUUACAUCUAAAGCAUACAUAUGUGUUGUCACUCAGAUCAAGAGGGAAGACAUUCCCAGCACCCCAGAAGGCUCCUCACCUAAGCCAAAUUUUAAGUUAGUAUCAGGGGAAGUAUAUAAGAAUCUCUUCUUUUCUUAGUUUUUAAAUAUGGCUGCACUUGGUAUUGCAUUAGCCAAAUGUUGGCUCUUUAGAUGAAUGUAAACGGAAUACUCUUCAGAGAUGAAGUGCUGCACUUAAUUCUUCAUCAGCUUGUCCUGAUCUAGCUUUUAGGAGUUUGCUGGACUUUUUGUGAGAGAUUUUCUGAUUGGACCUCCUCCUCCACUCAAUUUUCUGUUUUUGUGAAAUCUGUUAGUAUGUUGCACCACUUGGUGGCGCUGUUGUGUUGGAAACAGCCGCAUCGUGGAAAAGUCAACAGGGCAUUUGGUUGCUGAUUCCACGGUAAAUAACCCCAAUCUUUUAUUAUAUUUCAUUUUUUUGAAAUCAUCUUCUGUUUUAGUGUUUUCUAUGAAGAAAUCCUUUGUAUUCUUUAAUUGAACCUUAACAGUGUCCUUUCACCUUCAUUUUUUUUCUAGGCAUUUUUGAUCACAGAGAUAAGAUUAAAUAGCUUUCAAUAGUCAAAUUCUUUAGAUUUUAAGGAGAAAAAGAGUGAUAGACAUUUCUUUUAGAAAGCCAAUUGAUUAGGAGAUAAAAACCCGUAAGAAUUUUUUUCCCCUCUCAAUAACAAGUGUGUGUGUGUGUGUGUGUGUGUGUGUGUGUGUGUGUAUCUGCAUUCUCGUUGUUUCUGCUUACUUGUAGUUAGUGACUAUUUACUAGCUUGAUGAUCAUUAAGUGCUAGGAGGGUACUUAAAUGUGUGAUUCAGGAGACCUUGAAAACAUAAACAAGGUUUUAUGAUUUAAGGGGAAAUAGCAUUCUUUUAAAGUGGUUCAUGGUUAAUUGUUGGUAAACAUAAUUGUCACCAUCUUAUAUGAUUAUGGAAUUCAGUUUCACAGGAAGGAUCUAACUAUUUUUCAGUUGCUUUUCAGAACACUCAAAUUAGAUGAAAUGUCCAUUUGGCUUAAAUUUUAAUACAAAUUUGCAGUUUAUGUGGAUUAAAAUGUUUUAUUUUGUAUUAUUAAUGACUUUCAUGUGACUGAUGUGACAUUUUGCACUCCAUCUCUUUCUUGAACUUGUGCACCCUUAGGAAGGUAGAACAGGCAGAAAGCAUUCUUAAGCAGGACUAGCCUUGAACAACUAUAUAAUUGAUUAUUUACAAUAUAAAGGAUUUUAUUUUGUGAAGUAAUGGAUGAACAGACAACGACUUCAAGAUUUAAAUAGAGCAGGGUGAUAUUUUGUAUCAACUAUCCUUGUUAUCAGGGUAGAGGAUUCUGAGAAAAUGGAGUAUCUAAGUUUACUUCCCCUGUGGCUGAUUCGAAAAGAAACAAAAAUCCAAAUACUGAAAUUACUAAAUACCUGGAAAAGUUUAAAUGAGUUAAGCUCUCUGAGGAGAAUCCUUAACUCAUUUUAAAAAUCCCUAUUAAAGAUGAAAGCAUUUUCCUGUGUUACUUCAAUGACCUGUGCCUGAACAGGUAGCACAAAACUGUCUUGCUAUUAAAUGCAUAGCUGGCCAGGCACAGUGGCCCACGCCUAUAAUCCCAGCACUUUGGGAAGCUGAGGUGGGCGGAGCACUUGAGAUCAGGAAUUCAAGAUCAGCCUGGCCAACAUGGUGAAACCCUGUCUCUAUUAAAAAUACAAAAAUUAGCCGGGCGCUGUGGCAGGCAAUUGUAGUUCUAACUACUCAGGAGGCUGAGGCAGGAGAACCUGGGAGGUAGAGUUUGCAGUGAGCUGAGAUCAUGCCUUUGCACUCUGACCUGGGCAACAGAGUAAGACUCUGUCUCCAAAAAAAAAAGAAAGAAAAAGAUAGCUAUAUGUGCCUUUUUUGGGGGGCCACAGAAAAGGUCUCAAAGUAGAUUGGGCUACUUGGAAGAGAAAAUAAAGUGAAGUGCAAGGGACAGACGAAUGAACAGAAGAAAAAUGAAAUGACAGUUUAAGAAUUUUUGAUCUUGUGUUAUCUCAAAGUUUGUUGAAAAAUACAUAGAAGAUCUCUAUUGGGUCCCUUGCCCAACUUCCACUGGCCCAAAGAAACUAUAGUUUUGAACCAACAGACCUCUGCUGGCAUGUGCAGUUUCAUUUUUCCUGUUUUAACAACAGCUGUGCUAAACGGAGUGGUGAAUCCCAAAGGCUUAUUUUUGACCUCGCUGUAAGACUCUGAGAAAUUGCGUAGUCCUUCCUGAAACCACUAAGAGGAAAAAUGUCUGUGACAUUGCAUACAGAUGUAGGUGAUGUUAAAAUUGAAGUCUUUUGUGAGAGAAUACACAAAACAUGAGAAUUUCUUGGCUCUUUGUGCCAGUAACUACUACAAUGGCUGUAUAUUUUACAGAAAUAUCAAGGGUUUCAUGGUUCAAAUGGAGAUCCAACAGGUACUGGAAGAUGAGGUAACAGUAUCUGGGGCAAAAAGUUUGAGGAUGAAUACAGUGAAUAUCUUAAGCAGUGUUAGAGGUGUUGCACCUAUGGCUAAUAAUGGCCCAAACACUCAUGGAUCUCAAUUCUUCAUCAUCUAUGGCAAACAGCCACAUUUGGACAUGAAAUACACCAUAUUAGGGAAGGUAAUAGAUGGUCUGGAAACUCCAGAUGAGUUGGAGAGGUUGCCAGUCAGUGAGAAGACAUAUCGACCUCUUAAUGAAGUACACAUUAAGGACGUAACUAUUCAUGCCAACCCAUUUGCUCAGUAGCUGUAAUAGGCCUGGACACCUAACUUGACAGACUGCUGGAACACACUUAUUGAGGUUUACCUAGUUUUAAUUAUGUCAGAGAUUGCAUCAUCCUUCUGCUUGUUCAUAACUAUGAUCUUCUGUGAAAUAGUAGUACCAAGGGGUGCCCAACAGCUUUUAUUCCCAUUCUUAAAGCUUGUUCUUUAUUAUGAUUAUCCAAAAUAUUUUAGUUUUAAUGCAGAAAAUAUGCUGUUUAAUUUUUGUUACAUAUAAAGAUUCAUUUUUAAAUGCUGAGCCUCAAGUGCAGGCAUUUUUGAACAGCCUAAUUACAUACUCCUACCACAGCAAGUCCAUAUCCUGGAAGUGUUAUUUUAUAAUAAAAUAAAAAAUGUUUAAAAAAA